GGGAGUGGGAAGCCGAGCCGCCGGCGGGGGGGAGCGGGCUGUCUCCACGGCUCCAGCCCCUGUUGCUCGCAGCCAGACUUGGUGCCACGUAAUCCGAGUGACGGGCUGUGGGCUGUGGGCUGGAGCCGCACACCAGCGGAGCGGAGCGGAGCGCUUCCCGCAGCUCCUCAGAGCUCGCGCGCACUCGCAGGCAGCCGAGAGGCGGAGGAAUCAUCUAACUCCUAAUUAGUUGCUAUCUUGCUUGCCCUUCUGAUAGCGCAGCAGUGAUUUGGGAAUGCUCACUGCACAGGUUUGUAACAGAGAGUACCAAAUGCAAGAAUAGAAAGGGCUAAACUAAUCUGUGCUGCUCAAGAAAGGAAACAGAUCUGUCAUCCGCUCAGCUUCUUGGGAGUUCUUGUGAACUUUGUGUAAAGAAACAUGAG